AUUGAACGCUGGCGGCAUGCCUUACACAUGCAAGUCGAACGGCAGCACGGGAGCAAUCCUGGUGGCGAGUGGCGAACGGGUGAGUAAUAUAUCGGAACGUGCCCAGUCGUGGGGAUAACGUAGCGAAAGCUACGCUAAUACCGCAUACGAUCUAUGGAUGAAAGCGGGGGAUCGCAAGACCUCGCGCGAUUGGAGCGGCCGAUAUCAGAUUAGGUAGUUGGUGAGGUAAAGGCUCACCAAGCCGACGAUCUGUAGCUGGUCUGAGAGGACGACCAGCCACACUGGGACUGAGACACGGCCCAGACUCCUACGGGAGGCAGCAGUGGGAAUUUUGGACAAUGGCGCAAGCCUGAUCCAGCAAUGCCGCGUGCAGGAUGAAGGCCUUCGGGUUGUAAC
rnacentral:rRNA from 1 species